rnacentral:rRNA from 1 species
UAAGCGAGAUGUGAAAUCCCAAGGCUCAACCUUGGAACUGCAUUUCGAACUAGCAGACUUGAGAAUGUGAGAGGAAACUGGAAUUCCAGGUGUAGGAGUGAAAUCCGUAGAUAUCUGGAGGAACACCGAUGGCGAAGGCAGGUUUCUGGCACUAUUUCUGACGCUGAGGCACGAAAGCGGUGGGAGCGAACGGGAUUAGAUACCCCGGUAGUCCACGCCGUAAACGAUGGAUGCUA